CGUUCUGUAAGCCUGUGAAGGUGUGUCGUGAGGCAUGCUGGAGGUAUCAGAAGUGCGAAUGCUGACAUAAGUAACGAUAAAGCGGGUGAAAAGCCCGCUCGCCGGAAGACCAAGGGUUCCUGUCCAACGUUAAUCGGGGCAGGGUGAGUCGACCCCUAAGGCGAGGCCGAAAGGCGUAGUCGAUGGGAAACGGGUUAAUAUUCCCGUACUUGGUGUUACUGCGAAGGGGGGACGGAGAAGGCUAUGUUGGCCGGGCGACGGUUGUCCCGGUUUAAGCGUGUAGGUGUGUGUUCCAGGUAAAUCCGGUUCACUUUAACACUGAGGCGUGACGACGAGGCACUACGGUGCUGAAGCAACAAAUGCCCUGCUUCCAGGAAAAGCCUCUAAGCAUCAGGUA
rnacentral:rRNA from 2 species